rnacentral:rRNA from 1 species
UACAGAGGUCUCAAGCGUUGUUCGGAUUCAUUGGGCGUAAAGGGUGCGUAGGUGGCAAUGUAAGUCUGCUGUCAAAGCGUCUGGCUCAACCAGAUAAAGGCAGUGGAAACUACAUAGCUAGAGUAAGGUAGGGGUAGAGGGAAUUCCUGGUGUAGCGGUGAAAUGCGUAGAGAUCAGGAAGAACACCGGUGGCGAAAGCGCUCUGCUGGACCUAAACUGACACUGAGGGACGAAAGCUAGGGGAGCGAAUGGG